AGAGCAAAUGGUGGAUGCCUUGGCUAGUAGAGGCGAUGAAAGACGUGCCAGGCUGCGAUAAGUCUCGGGGAGCCGUCAAGGGGCUUUGAUCCGGGAAUUUCUGAAUGGGGCAACCCAGUAUAUAGUGAUAUAUACUACCGCAAUGCGGAGCGAACGUUGGGAAUUGAAACAUCUUAGUACCAACAGGAAAAGAAAUCAAACGAGAUUACGCUAGUAGCGGCGAGCGAAAGCGUAAGAGGGCAAACCACUAGCUUGCUAGUGGGGUUGUAGGACUGCAAUAUAGACUUAAACAAUCUAAUAGAAUAAGUUGGAAAGCUUAAGCAUAGAGGGUGAUACUCCCGUAUAUGAAAGUGCGUUUAUACUUAGCAGUAUCCUGAGUAGGGCGGGACACGUGUAAUCCUGUCUGAAGCUGGGUAGACCACUAUCCAACCCUAAAUACUACUACUAGACCGAUAGUGCACAAGUACCGUGAGGGAAAGGUGAAAAGAACUGAGGUGAUCAGAGUGAAAUAGAACCUGAAACCAUUUGCUUACAAUCAUUCAGAGCCCUAUGAUUUAUCAGGGUGAUGGACUGCCUUUUGCAUAAUGAGCCUGCGAGUUGUGGUGUCUGGCGAGGUUAAGGAAACCCGGAGCCGUAGCGAAAGCGAGUCUUAAUAGGGCGUAUAGUCAGAUGCUGCAGACCCGAAACGAUGUGAUCUAUCCAUGAGCAGGUUGAAACUGGUGUAAGAGCCAGUGGAGGACCGAACAGACGGCCGUUGAAAAGGCUCCUGAUGACUUGUGGAUAGGGGUGAAAGGCCAAUCAAACAUCGUGAUAGCUGGUUCUCUCCGAAAUAUAUUUAGGUAUAGCGUUGUGUAGUAACUUUGUGAGGUAGAGCACUGAAUGGGCUAGGGCAUACACCAAUGUACCAAACCCUAUCAAACUCCGAAUGCGCAAAGUGUAAUCAUAGCAGUCAGGCGGCGAGUGAUAAAAUCCGUCGUCGAGAGGGGAACAACCCAGACUAACAGCUAAGGUCCCUAAAUCUCAUUUAAGUGGAAAACGAUGUGGAGUUACUGAAACAACCAGGAGGUUGGCUUAGAAGCAGCCAUCCUUUAAAGAAAGCGUAAUAGCUCACUGGUCUAGUGAUUCUGCGCGGAAAAUAUAACGGGGCUAAAAUGAGUACCGAAGCUUUAGACUUAGUUUUUAACUAAGUGGUAGGAGAGCGUUCUAUUCAGCGUUGAAGGUAUACCGGUAAGGAGUGCUGGAGCGGAUAGAAGUGAGCAUGCAGGCAUGAGUAGCGAUAAAAGGGGUGAGAAUCCCCUUCGCCGUAAACCCAAGGUUUCCUACGCGAUGCUCGUCAUCGUAGGGUUAGUCGGGUCCUAAGCAAAGUCCGAAAGGGGUAUGCGAUGGAAAAUUGGUUAAUAUUCCAAUACCAAUUAUUAUGUGCGAUGGAAGGACGCUUAAAGUUAGUGGAGCUAGCGGAUGGAAGUGCUAGUCUAAGGGUGUAGGUUGAGUUAUAGGUAAAUCCGUAACUCUCUAUCCGAGACCUCAAAGGCUCUUGACGCUCUUCGGAGUAGAUGGAGAAUCCAUGAUACUAUCGAGCCAAGAAAAGUUUCUAAGUUUAGUAAUAAUUGCCCGUACCGUAAACCGACACAGGUGGGUGGGAUGAGUAUUCUAAGGCGCGUGGAAGAACUCUCUUUAAGGAACUCUGCAAAAUAGCACCGUAUCUUCGGUAUAAGGUGUGCCUAACUUUGUAUUAAGAUUUACUCCCAAAGCAAAGAAGGUUACAACAAAGAGUCCCUCCCGACUGUUUACCAUAAACACAGCACUCUGCUAACUCGUAAGAGGAUGUAUAGGGUGUGACGCCUGCCCGGUGCUCGAAGGUUAAUUGAUGGGGUUAGCAUUAGCGAAGCUCUUGAUCGAAGCCCGAGUAAACGGCGGCCGUAACUAUAACGGUCCUAAGGUAGCGAAAUUCCUUGUCGGUUAAAUACCGACCUGCAUGAAUGGCGUAACGAGAUGGGAGCUGUCUCAAAGAGGGAUCCAGUGAAAUUGUAGUGGAGGUGAAAAUUCCUCCUACCCGCGGCAAGACGGAAAGACCCCGUGGACCUUUACUACAGCUUGACACUGCUAUUUGGAUAAAGAUGCGCAGGAUAGGUGGGAGGCUUUGAUCCAUAGACUCUGGUUUAUGGUGAGCCAUUGUUGAGAUACCACUCUUCUUUAUUUGGGUAGCUAACUAGCCUAAGUUAUCCUUAGGUAGGACAAUGUCUGGUGGGUAGUUUGACUGGGGCGGUCGCCUCCCAAAGUGUAACGGAGGCUUACAAAGGUUGGCUCAGAACGGUUGGAAAUCGUUCGUAGAGUAUAAAGGCAUAAGCCAGCUUAACUGCGAGACGUACAUGUCAAGCAGAGACGAAAGUCGGUCUUAGUGAUCCGGUGGUUCUGUGUGGAAGGGCCAUCGCUCAAAGGAUAAAAGGUACCCCGGGGAUAACAGGCUGAUCUCCCCCAAGAGCUCACAUCGACGGGGAGGUUUGGCACCUCGAUGUCGGCUCAUCGCAUCCUGGGGCUGGAGCAGGUCCCAAGGGUAUGGCUGUUCGCCAUUUAAAGCGGUACGCGAGCUGGGUUCAGAACGUCGUGAGACAGUUCGGUCCCUAUCUGCCGUGGGCGUAAGAAGAUUGAGGAGAGUUGACCCUAGUACGAGAGGACCGGGUUGAACCAGCCACUGGUGUAUCAGUUGUUCUGCCAAGAGCAUCGCUGAGUAGCUAAGCUGGGAUGUGAUAAGAGCUGAAAGCAUCUAAGCUCGAAGCCAACUCCAAGAUGAAUCUUCUUUUAAGAGCUCUAGUAGACUACUAGUUUGAUAGGCUGGGUGUGUAAUGGAUGAGAGUCCUUUAGCUGACCAGUACUAAUAGCUCGUUUGCUUAUCUU
rnacentral:rRNA from 1 species